AGGCCUGAGCUGAUUCUUGAGUCACAGAGACUUUCACGGUCCGCCUGGUGAUGGGUCCCUGAGGCGUGGCAAAGCAGGACCCCUUCGUGGCAGUGCGUCGGUGUCGCGACUCCACCCUGACGUCUCCAGGAGCUCGAGAGGGAUGGUCUCCGGACGCCAGGAGUCGCGGAGGGCCGACCAGGAUGAAGAAACUUCAGGCGGAGUCCCAGGAGAGCAGCGCGGGAUCCCAGCCUCAGCCUGCCCAGACGGAUCAAGACGGUCUCACCACACCCAAGGAUAGUAUUUAAAAAAGCAUCAGCGGAGCUCAUUGUUCUUCUGCAGGAGAGGUGCAGACCGACCUCCAAGAAGAUGGUUCUAACUCCUCCCGCCCUCUCUUCCCAUUGAGAAAUGGAGCCCCACCGCGACACAGGCUUGGAGAAGAAGUCGAGAACGGGAUGUGGCAAGGAUCUCUGUCACUCCAACGCUGGCCUUUCUGGCCAAGUCACCCGUUUGGCACUCCUUCCCGGAAGCCCAUGGCGGUGGCAUUGUGCUGUAUCCCGCCUGGGCUCUGACCUCUACACUGUCCUCCCUCUUGCUCUGUCUGCCAUGUUUCUGACGGGCCUGGAUGCUUCUUGGUCUGGCUCAGUGUCUUCCACAGAGAACACUUUUGAGUCCAUCAGGGAGAAACUGUGUGGAAAUCCAUUUCGUGAAUGUUGUCAUCAUAAAUCAUCAAAAUGUCAUCUGAUAGAACAUAUUUUUCUAAGUUAAUUUACUUAUGAGACAUUUACAAGGGUAUAGAAUAAUGUACUCAGUGAAUGUAGUCCUCUCAUUUAAUCUUUGAUGUUUUAGAUGACGAUAUUUCUUUUUUUGAGACAGAGUCUCACUCUGUCACCCAGGCUGGAGUGCAGGAGGGAGAUCACAGCUCACUGCAGCCUCGACUUCCCAGGGUCAAGGGUCCUCCAACCUCAGUUUCCCAAGUAGCUGUGGCUACACGCAUGCACCACCAUAUCCAGCUUUUUGUAAAUUUUGUAGAGAUGAGGUUUUGCUGUCUUGCCCAGGCUGGUCCCGAACUCCUGGGCUCCAGCAGUCUGCCCACCUCGGCCUCCCAAAGUGCUGGGAUUACAGGCAUCAGCCAUCAAAUCUGCCUAGGAUGACUUGGUUUUCUUAUUGGCAUAUUCUAUAUUCACUAAAUAAAGUAUCUACAGUCUCAGUCCAGGUAGG
rnacentral:lncRNA from 1 species